rnacentral:rRNA from 1 species
AGUCGAGGGGUAUGGUAGCAUACCAGAGACCGGCGCACGGGUGCGUAACGCGUAUGCAAUCUACCUUUUACAGAGGGAUAGCCCAGAGAAAUUUGGAUUAAUACCUCAUAGUAUUACGACCCGGCAUCGGGAUGUAAUUAAAGUCACAACGGUAAAAGAUGAGCAUGCGUCCCAUUAGCUAGAUGGUAAGGUAACGGCUUACCAUGGCAACGAUGGGUAGGGGUCCUGAGAGGGAGAUCCCCCACACUGGUACUGAGACACGGACCAGACUCCUACGGGAGGCAGCAGUGAGGAAUAUUGGACAAUGGGCGCAAGCCUGAUCCAGCCAUGCCGCGUGCAGGAUGACGGUCCUAUGGAUUGUAAACUGCUUUUGCACAGGAAGAAACAACGCUACGUGUAGCGUCUUGACGGUACUGUGAGAAUAAGGAUCGGCUAACUCCGUGCCAGCAGCCGCGGUAAUACGGAGGAUCCAAGCGUUAUCCGGAAUCAUUGGGUUUAAAGGGUCCGUAGGCGGUUUGGUAAGUCAGUGGUGAAA